rnacentral:rRNA from 1 species
CCAAUAGCGUAUAUUAAAGUUGUUGCAGUUAAAAAGCUCGUAGUUGAAUUUCGGGAUCAAUAUGUCGGUCGUGCUUUUUGGUACGUACUGGCGUCAUUGGUUUCUCCUUUCUGACGAGCCAUGAUGUCAUUAAUUUGGUGUUAUGGGGAGUUAGGACUGUUACUUGGAAAAAAUUAGAGGGUUUAAAGCAGGCAUUAGCUUGAAUACAUUAGCAUGGAAUAAUGAAAUAGGACGUUCGAUCCUAUUUUGUUGGUUUCUAGGAUCAACGUAAUGAUUAAUAGGGAUAGUUGGGGGCAUUAGUAUUCAAUUGUCAGAGGUGAAAUUCUUGGAUUUAUUGAAGACUAACUACUGCGAAAGCAUUUGCCAAGGAUGUUUUCAUUAAUCAAGAACGAAAGUUAGGGGAUCGAAGACGAUCAGAUACCGUCGUAGUCUUAACCAUAAACUAUGCCGACUAGGGAUCGGAUGAUGUUAAUUUUUUAAUGACUCAUUCGGCGCCUUACG